rnacentral:rRNA from 1 species
UUGGACAAUGGGGGCAACCCUGAUCCAGCCAUGCCGCGUGUGUGUAGAAGGUCUUCGGAUUGUAAAGCACUUUAAGUUGGGAUGAAGGGCUUUAGGCUAAUACCCUUACGUUUUGACGUUACCUACAUAAUAAGCACCGGCUAACUCUGUGCCAGCAGCCGCGGAAAUUCAGAGGGGUCAAGCGUAAAGCGGAAUUACUGGGCGUAAAGCGCGGGUAGGUGGUUCAGUAAGAUGGGUGUGAAAGCCCCGGGCUUAACCUGGGAACUGCUUUCAUAACUGCUGAGCUAGAGUACGGUAGAGGGUAGUGGAAUUUCCUGGGUAGCGGUGAAAUGCGUAGAUAUAGGAAGGAACACCAGUGGCGAAGGCGACUACCUGGACUGAUACUGACACUGAGGUGCGAAAGCGUGGGGAGCAA